UAAUGGUGCACAAUGCCUCUACUGUUGCAAAACUCAAGAAACUGAUUUGAGGUAUCUUCAGUAUCAUUAUCAGAUCUUAAACAUUUAAUUAGCAUGUCACUUUGAUUCUCAACUAAAGCUUUGAAUGUUUGAAAAAUUAUAAAUACUUCACUCUUAAAUUUGAUGAAAUACACCCAACACAUCCUAGUAUAAUCAUCAAUAAAGAGAAUGAAAUACUUGUUACCACAUAAUGAGGUUGUCUUCAUAGGUCCAUACACGUCAGUAUGGAUAAACUGAAGCUUUUGGCUGGCUCUCCAUGCUUACCCUUUAGGAAAUGGUGGCCUUGAUUACUUGCUAAGUUGACAUGUUUCACAUAAUUGAAUCUCACCAUUCAAUGUAGGCAAUGCUUCAACCACUUCCUUUUGUUUCAGAAUUGACAAGCCCUUUUGAUUGAAAUGUCCAAAUCUUUUAUGCUAAAGAUUUGAAACAUCCUGAGUAGCACUCACAUAUGCAUGAUUGGAUACUUUAUCCUAGUUAACAACAAAGCUUCUGUUUUUUAUCUUUACACAGAACACUUGUUCUCUAAAAGGAUCAAAGAUAGUGCAUUUAUGAUCCUUAAACUAAAGAGAAUAGUUUUUCUCCAUCAUUUGUCCAACACUUAGCAAAUUUUGAUUGAUUUCAGAAAUUCUCUAUUGCCAACCUUUACUUUGGAUUUGUAAGAUUCAUCAAGGGUUUUAAACAUUCCAGCAUCAUUGCAUAAAUGAUGUGUGCAUCCAUUAUCAAUAAGUCAAGUAUCAGUUGAAUCAUUUAUUGAGAAAUAAGUGACAGCAAAGAAUUGCUCCUCUUAUGUAUCAACUUCAUUCGCAAGUGAGUGCAUGGAGAAAACUUCUUCUAUUUUGAACCUUUACUAGUGCUAUCUCCUUCAUUUCUACCUUUAAUUCUCAGAUUAAGUGACUUUUUUCCUUUUUCAACUUGUUGUUUUUGCACAUAAAAGGCUCCUUCAGUCAAUCUGUCUUGCCUGAUUGUUCUUCGUUGCUCUUGUGCUUGAAGAGCACUCAUUAGUUCACCUAAUGAGAUUUUACUGAGGUCCUUUGAUUCUUCCAGAAAGGAGGUUUUGGAUUUAAACCUCUCAAGAAGAGUUACAAGAACCUUCUCCAUAAUCCUGCUGUCAGGAAAGUCUUCUCCAAGUAAUUUGAUGUUGUUGAUAAUUAGUGAAACUCGAUCAGAAUACUUGGAGAUUAUUUCAUAAUAUUGCA